GUGUGUGUGAGAGAGAGAGAGAGAGACUGUUUCUGUUACAGCCUAAGGUGGCGGAGGAGGGCUAUAUCCUUAAUGGUCACACGCACACUCCCUUAGGAGGCUAGGGGAGUGUGUGCGUGUGACCAUUCAGGAAAGAGAUUUAGGGUCUACUGACACGGGCAGUUAGGCGCGUGUGGUAGGUGGCGGGGCGCCGGGGAAGGUGCUUUGAAAUUGCUGGACGUACAGCUCGGCUCCAUUUUCUGCCUGCCACAUCCAGAUCAUGUCCCUGAAAACACUUGAUUUGCCCGCACAGCAGCGGGUGCCUGUGGCCAGUUGGGUUCAGGCGAGCAGUCUGCAUGUUUUUCUCGCAGCUCCUGAAAUGGCUGUGUGAAUCGGCCCCGAGAGGCAGAGAAAUCACAUUUUAUUGAAAGGGUAAUACUUUCCAAAAUGGGAAGGACAAGGAGUUGAGCCUGCCUGACUCGUGAAAGCCAUACUUUCUGAACUGAAUACCUUGUCCUCUCCACUCCAGUUGCUGCACUGCAUGUACUCAUCUUGCUAGUACAUUUGGACAAGCAGCAAUCCUUUCGUCUCCAUGUGGAUUGUGGGUGUCAAGUACUCUGAUUCAACACCGUUAUUCAAAUUAUCCACCACUUUUUCUUCUAAUAGACCAGCAUGACCACCUGUGAGUUUGUGAUUUGGGGAAUGCUGUAAUUGUCCACCUAGGAGACUGACCUGAAGAGGAUGAUGUCUUACUACCAGAUGAUGGGACUCAACUUUCAGAGGAAUGAAAUGCCAUCCAACACUAGAUAAAGCACCCCAUUUGGCUUUGUUGACAUUAAUCCUAGUGCAACACCUACAUGUAUCUUCUGCCUUGACAAUAUUAAAUCUACCAUGUUUCUCUG